UGUUCUCGGGGCGGGGUGAAAUUCCCCACCGGCGGUAAGAAGGUCGAAUAACUGACCUUUAAGCCCGCGAGCGCCUUCAGACCGGACCGUGGUCUUGGUUCAGAGGGUUAGCAGAUUCGGUGUAAAUCCGAAGCCGACGGUGACAGUCCGGAUGAAAGAGAACG
rnacentral:ncRNA from 1 species